rnacentral:misc_RNA from 1 species
GAUGAAGAACGGAGCGAAAUGCGAUAAGUAAUGUGAAUUGCAGAAUUCAGUGAAUCAUCGAAUCUUUGAACGCACAUUGCGCCCGCCAGUAUUCUGGCGGGCAUGCCUGUUCGAGCGUCAUUUCAACCCUCAGGCCCCCAGUGCCUGGUGUUGGGGAUCGGCCCAGCCUUCCUGUAAGGCCGCCGGCCCCGAAAUCUAGUGGCGGUCUCGCUGUAGUCCUCCUCUGCGUAGUAGCACAACCUCGCAGUUGGAACGCGGCGGUGGCCAUGCCGUUAAACACCCCACUUCUGAAAGUUGACCUCGGAUCAGGCAGGAAUACCCGCUGAACUUAAGCAUAUCAAUAAGCGGAGGA